AAAUAGACCUUUACAACGGACACGUAGAUGUAAAUGUAAAGGUAGACGUACUAGGUACUUUGGUCAAAACACGGGGGAUUUCUCAAAACAUAAAUUUCGGAACAAGUCAGCUUCAAAAAAAACAGCGGCUUCAAAUAAAGUCACAAAAUCGGUCUUAAUAUAAGCAUGUUAUAUACCAUGUUUGGCGGAUAAUAUGUUCACGGUGAGGAUGCGUACACCGGAUAUUGCCAUUUAGUGAUAAGGUAUUUUCCGAAAACGUGUUUAUUUUUCGUCAACAUGAUCCAACUUGUUUAUGUGUGUUUAUGGCUGGCUCGACGAACGAAUUUAAGGCCAUUGUAUGUCAUUUUCUUGAACACCACCCAAAUGACGAGAAUAUUAUAGUACGCUAACGACCAAAACCGCAAAAAAAUGUAAAUUACAAGAUAGCACCAGACAUAUGCGGAGAGAAAAAAAAGAAAAAAUACUGUUGAUUCAGAAAAUAUUAACAUACUUGUUUCAAAAAGGAACCCUCUUACAAAAGGGACCAAUUUGCAACAGAAAGAAACCUUUGAUUUGGGCAAAUGGUGAGGAGCCUGUUCACUGACGGCAGUGGAAAUGUAUACUUCCUACCACGCCAUCUAGCAGAACUCAACAUUUACACAAUGCUAUCAGUACAAAAAUAUAAGCUAGAAACACAUACACGGCGGUGUACAUGGAACUUUCAAUGUUACACAGAGUGCAAUUCCAUGGACAGACAAGGUUUUCAGAGAGUAUUGUUAUACAGUCUAUGAAAGAAUGUGACAAAAUAGAUGGAUGAAUAAAUAGCCUGUAAUCAGUUUGUUUGCCAAGAAACGUUUUCUUUAACUGAUUUUAUAGUUUCCUAUAUUUCUUGACGUCGCAAAAUGUUUCAUCGACAACUUGGUUAAUAUGAGGUAUAGUGAAGACUGCAAGUUGUUUUGAAGAGCAGGCUUAUAAUGAUUCUUCCAAUGAUUUUACAACUGCUUGCAUAACAGAGACCGCAUUUCUGACGCUAAAUUAAGAGGAAAGAGAAUGCAAGACAGACAAAUACUUAUUGACAUUAAAAGAAGCAGCUAGUUACUGCAUAAAUGUGAUGAGUGUACAUUACUUCCACAUAAGAUUGGGCAUUGAUACUGAAAUAGGUUCUGUUGUGACAGAUUUAUCUUACCAAACAUUAUUUCACAAGUAAUAUUGUAAAAGCCAUGUUUUACUUUGAUAAAGAACAAAAAGUCAUGUACAUUGAAAUAUUUAUUAAACAAAGUUGAAACGUAAACACAAAUUCAUAAAAUAUCAAAGAUAAUAAUAAGAUAGUAGAAGAACUCCGUAAGAUUUGUCUUUCGUUCCUUUCCACCAACUGUACUUGUAAUGUUAGUAUAUAAAUAUAGUUAUGUAUAUUGUUGGGAAUAGAUAUGUUUAAACCAAAGAUCAUAAACAUUUGACAUUCAACAGUUUGAAUACAUGAAAAAAAUCGAAAUGAUCUUCAGGUCAGUUCCCAGUCAUUUGUUAUAGUUCGAAGUUGACCUUGACAAUAAAUAUACUAUUUUGGUCAAAGGGAAGUUGAUCACAUAAAAGUGAUAACGAACUGCUUGCAAAGAAAUGACAUAUAUCUUGCAAAUGAAGUGUGCAAAAACUAUUUCAAGAAUAACACAUGGCACUGUUUCCUCCUACUUUUAACACAAAUUGCUCAGUGCAUAUGACACCCAUUUUGUUUCGUAUGAAGCAAGUGGUGAGCUUAUUACCUUUCAGAACAAU